UUCUUUCUUUCUUUCUUUCUUUCUCUCUUUCUUUGCCAUACCCACAGCCUGUGGAAGUUCCCAGGCCAAGAAUUGAAUCUGUACUGCAGUUGAGACUUCCAAGGAGCCCAUAUUUUGAUGCCAAAGAGAACUUACCAGCUCUGAAUGGGCUGGCCUUUAAGUGUACACAGUUGUUUGUUUGUUUGUUUGUUUGUUUUUUCACAUUUAAAAGCACAGACUAACUUAGUAUUUUUCACAUUUUUAACUAAACCAGUUGGAAAACCAAACCUCUUCUCCCAAAGCAAAGAGGGUACAGCUCUGCUCUGGCCUGUAAUGGGAAGUCUGUUCAACCCAAUCUGAUAUACAAAGGCAGGCAUAUGCCUUAGGGUAUCCUUUAUUGUGAACCCCUCAUUUUCUAUCCUAUAUCACCCUCCUUGGCACAGGGCUUCUUGUUUCUAGAAUAAAGGGUUUGACUAUGAUUCCAAAACCUCCCUUAAUAGCUCCUUGUAGAAGCUCUCCAUUAAAUGGCACCCCACGAUCCACUGCCUAGUCCCAGAUUCCCUUGGACAGAGAAUCCUUCAUAAUUCUUCACUGAGACCACAGGCUCCAAUUUACUUUGAUAGAUACCCAUUCGAGGUUAGGUUUGUCAUUCUUGCCCAUCCUCUGUAGCAAUUUAGAAAAAUAGAUAACAUGUAAAGAAACAUAAAUCUGAGAGUCAGAGAAGAAAAUUGAGAUGUCAAAGGAGUAUUUCUAUCUGAAUAUUGCUGAAUACUUGACUUUCAAGGAAAGGUUUCCAAUUCUUUGCCAUAGUCAAUGCACACGUGUAAACAUAUGACCUUAUAAAAUAUCUGGGAGAUGCUGAGCAUUCACCGUCCAGAUUAUUUUUCCAUGGUUUUCCAAAACUCAGAAGACAAUGAUUAGGAUGUGGAGCUCUGGAAAUGAAUGAGCAGAAUCAAGGUUCAUCUACAGGAUAUGGGAAAGAACAGAGAGAAAGCACUUUUCCUCUUUAAGAUCAGGAGCCUAGUAGGGAGUACCUACCAGGGAUUGUCAUCCUCAACACUUCUCCAUUUCCAGACUCAUUUCCAGGCCUGUCUUAUCUGAUGUUCACUGGUGUUCCUUCUCUCUAUUGCUCAUAAAUUAUUUUUCAUAAUUUAUGGUUCGUUUUAUACUUAUUUAGCCUGGACAUUUGUAAGCUUCUUGAAGUAGAAUUUUUUUGUUUAACUCCGAUUUUUUCUAAAUAGGUUUAGGAGUUCCUGCUGUGGCACAGUGGUUUAAGAAUCUGACUGCAGCAGCUCAGGUACCUGGGGAGGCUUGGGUUCCAUCCCUAGCCUGGCACAGCGGGUUAAAAGGAUCUGGCAUGGCAGAAGCUAUGGCACAGAUCAUAACUCUGGCUUGGAUUCAUUCCCAGGCCCAGGAACUUCCAUAUGCUAUGGACGUGGCCAUUAAAAAAAAAAAGAAAAAAAGAAAAAAAGAAGAAGGAAAACAGGUUUAGGUUUAAAUUUAGAAGGAAUCUGACAAAAUGCUUGGAAUUAAAGACUAUACCAUACUAUCUAGGCUGUUUUUAAUAAAUGAUUAGAAUUAGAACAAAGAGAAACUGAGCCCCCAAACAAGGAAUCUUUCAAAAAUCAUUAUCUUACAUUCAAAAUACUCAGGAUAUGUAAGUGCAUACACUUCAUGUGAAAGUUUAGAGAGUCUGUUACUGUGGUAAUGGUUAAUGUGAAUUUUCGAGGAGAGAGGCCACGGAGGUUUAAAUGCUGUUAUGUAUCUAUUUUAGAACAAUACACAGAGCUUCUUAUAUUGAAAUCCCAUUGUAUUUCCAAAUUCAACUGUGUUAAACUAACUUAGUAUUUGCAAACUUAAUCCCAAUAAAGAUUAUUUUAAGCAUUUUGAAAACGUGCCCAACAACCAUAGUAAUAAAUAACACUUAGAAUUAAUGAAGCUACUUUGUCUAAACACAUCAAAGUGCCUUUAAACACUGACUCCAUUCCUUCUAUUUUAUAUAAUAAAUGGUCUUGUAGGUUUUUAUAUUUUUAUGUAUUAAUCUUUCCAAACUGCAACUGAUAUGAGAAAAACCUCAAAAACACUGCACUUUAUAUCUUUUUCAUUUCUUGGCAAAUUGGAGCUUUGGUCCAGUACAGGUGAGUUAGUUUGACUGUUGUUUCAUAUUGAAUUAGAAAAAGAGAAAUCGUGUGUGACCUUGUUCAUUGUUUUAUCUCCAGUACCUUAUACAGCCUCUAAUAAAAGAACAUAUACUCUAAUUAAAGAACAUUUUUUUUUCAAUGAAAGAAUGAAUGAAUGAAGUUAAGCAUAGCACACAGGGAUAAAAGUUUUACAGUGAAGACUCAAGAAAGAUAAGAGAAAGCAAAUCUAGGCCUAAGACUUUCUGCAAGAAGGAGAUGAGAAGAAGUGGCAGGACUGACCAAGUGAGAGGUGAUAUUUCUGGAGUUAUAAACUCAAAAAGGCAUUGAACAUCUGGAUAGAGAAGCAGAUUCAAGAAACAAAUUAUUAUUAUUAUUUUCUUUAUAGGUCUGCACCUGCGGCACAUGGAAGUUCCCAGGCUAGGGGUUGAAUCCGAGCCACCCCUGCUGGCCUAUGUCACAGCCACAGCAACACAGGAUCCAAGCCAUGUCUGCGACCUAUACUACUGCUCAUGGCUAGGCCAGAUCCUUAACCCACUGAGCAAGGCCAGGGAUUGAACCCCCAUCCUCAUGGAUUCUAGUCGGGCUCGUUACCGCUGAUCCACAAUAGGAACUUCUCUGUGUUCAUCCNAAAACUUGGUAAAUGGGCUCUUCUGCAAGGUUUGUUUUAACAAGAGAUAUUUAGUGUAAAUUGAUAAUACACACUAUGCAAGAUGUGAACACAUGGUCUUUCUUGAUAUCUGUAACAUGAUUAUAGCCUAAUUUUAUCAAAUGUAGAAAUAUUGACGAGGCCGCCACAGGCUUGCUUAAUUCAGCUACCUAUAUCUUCCAGAGUCAACAAGUUCGUCAAAUUAAAUAUUUCUAUCAAGAAGUACUCUAGAAAACUUUUUGUAUGACAAGAAGGGGCCUGUGAAUGAUUGUUUUAUGCUCUACUGUUUUUAACAAACAUACACUAUGCAUUUCAUUUUUUUCAUAUCUAAAUUUCUAUAGAAAAGGGCUUCAGAGCGGGGCUGUGGAACACACAAGGCCUUUUUUUUUUAAACCUGCCCAGCUUGCUAACACUAUCUUUUCUGUGCAAUAUAUUCUCUUUUCUCAUCAUGCUCAUCUUGCCUUUCCUUCUCCUUUCUUGCCCCCUGAAAUCCUGCUAAUACUUCAAGGUCCAACUAAAAUGUUACCUAUCCCUAUAGAGACUGACUUGCUUCAAAGAGUCAGAAGUCCUGCCGUCUGCAGCCUUCACUCACCACGCUCUUUGCUUUACAUCCCAACAACCCUUUCCCUAUCAGUUCAUGAUCCCUUUGAUAGCAGGGGGCAACUCUUUUUCAUUUUUGUCUCUCCAGAAUCUGAAUAUUGCCGAUGCUCAAUAAAUACUGCAUGGACAAGUUGUUGAGUAAGUGAGAAUAGAUACUCUGAAUGAGGGAUAUGUCUUCUCUGUAUGAGAAGGAAACCCAAACACACUGAGCCAUGGGGAGAAUGAUUAAAACUGUGAAGUGAAUGUGAAAUCGACAAACCAAAAAACAAGGAUUCUUGAGAACCCAGUCCUGGCAUGUGGUAAGAGGUUAGUACAUGUCCGCUCUCCAUAAUCUAAACUUUAUUUUAGCUUCAUAUUUAGUAACAAUUUUAAUGAUUUUUCUCAUAUCAUUAUUUUAGGAUAUAUUCCUAUUUAAUAAAAACAGAUAUAAUUAGGAUAAAAUGCCCAUCCUUUAAGCCAAUGGACCCUCCCUAACACACAAGAAUCCCCUUUAACAAUCAAGAAAAAGCAACUUAAUGAAUAGCAUUUUAACACUGGGGAAGUUUGUGCAAUUCUACAGUUUAGUCCCUGGAGAUCAGAUCUCCAUUACAGGGCAAAAUUAUCUUUUGAGAGAAAAGUGUAGUUUCUGCAGCUGUGUGUGUUAGUAGAUGUUUUUGAACUAUAAGAUCAGGCUUCAUAAAUAUAUCCCCCUGUUCUUUCCUGUGCUGUGUUUAUUCUGUUUGCUCAAGCCAAGCGCUAUAACAUAAAAGGAGGCUUUCUCAAGAGGCUGAAUUAGAAAGUCAUGCAUCUAAGUGUACAGAACAUUCAGUCUGCAAAGAACAGAAUCAAACAUCUGAAGAUGCAGUUUUAUUUCUCAGCUAAUAACAUUUCCAAGUUGCCAGCCUACCCUUCUCGAACAGAACUGGUUCCAUAAACGGAGGAGAGUAAUUCUAAGAAAUUCAGAGGGGUUAAUGGGGGAUGUCCAGGGGUAUCCCGCCUAACUGGCCUCCAGGCUGAAAAUCAAGUUUGGAGGCAGUACAGACCGCCUCCUUUGAUCCUACAAAAUACUUCCCUUCAGUCAUAAAAGCAGAGAAGGAUGAGUUAGGAAAACCAAAUCAAAGAUUAUGAAUGUCUAUAAGUCAGUGAAUGGUGGGGAGGGAAGUGAAAAUUAGGGGGUCGGAUUUUCAGAAAUGCUAUUGAGAUUUAAAUUUAAAUGUGCUAGAAUGUCCCAUAAAGGCAGUUAAAGGUUGGGAGAAGAGCUAAGAAACAAAGUUCUAUAAAACUACAGAUCUUCAAAAGAAAAGUGAGAAUAGGAGAAAAUAAAAUUUUGAGAGUCUUGAACUGCCUUAGAGCCAUGUGUAGUUCAGGGACGCUAAGGAGUCACAAGGUCAAAACUAGUUUCAUAAUUAUACUAGGACACUCUAUGCUCUCUCACAACUAUUCUGCCAUAUUUGUGGAAAAUAUACAGUGAUGUUUUCC
rnacentral:lncRNA from 1 species